rnacentral:rRNA from 1 species
CCUACGGGAGGCAGCAGUGAGGAAUAUUGGACAAUGGACGCAACUCUGAACCAGCCAUGCCGCGUGCAGGAAGACGGCCCUCUGAGUUGUAAAUUGCUUUUGUACGAGGGUAAACGCUGAUACGCGUAUCUGUCAGAAAGUAUGGUAAGAAUAAGGAUAGGACAACUCAGGGCCAGGAGCCGCGGUAAUGCGGAGGAUUCAAGCUUUGCCCGGAUUUAUUGGGCUUAACGGGUGCGUAGGCGGUCGGUUAAGUUAGAUGUGAAAUCCCGGGGCCUAACUUCGGAAUUGCCUCUGAUUCUGUUCGGCUAGAGAGUAGUUGCGGUAGGCGGAAUGUAUGGUGUAGCGGUGAAAUGCUUAGAGAUCA